rnacentral:rRNA from 1 species
AUUGAACGCUGGCGGCAGGCCUAACACAUGCAAGUCGAACGAGUGGCGGACGGGUGAGUAAUGUCUGGGAACCUGCCCGAUGGCGGGGGAUAACUACUGGAAACGGUAGCUAAUACCGCAUACCAUCGGAUGUGCCCAGAUGGGAUUAGCUAGUAGGUGGGGUAACGGCUCACCCAGGCGACGAUCCCUAGCUGGUCUGAGAGGAUGACCAGGCCAAAUGGAACUGAGACACGGGCCAGACUCCUACGGGAGGCAGGAGGUGGGAAUAUUGGAAAAUGGGCGCAAGCCUGAUGCAGCCAUGCCGCGGGUAUGAAGAAGGCCUUCGGGUUGUAAAGGACUUUCAGCGAGGAGGCGUUACUCGCAGAAGAAGCACCGGCUAACUCCAUGCCAGCCGCCGCGGUAAUUC